rnacentral:rRNA from 1 species
CGCUGGCGGCGUGCCUAACACAUGCAAGUCGAACGAGAAUCGGUGGAACGGAGAUUCGUCGAAGGGAAGCUGAGGACAGUGGCGAACGGGUGAGUAACGCGUGAGCAACCUGCCUUUCAGUGGGGGACAACAGUUGGAAACGACUGCUAAUACCGCAUAAAGCAACGAGGGGGCAUCCCUUUGUUGCCAAAGAUUUAUUGCUGAAAGAUGGGCUCGCGUCUGAUUAGAUAGUUGGUGGGGUAACGGCCUACCAAGUCGACGAUCAGUAGCCGGACUGAGAGGUUGAACGGCCACAUUGGGACUGAGAUACGGCCCAGACUCCUACGGGAGGCAGCAGUGGGGAAUAUUGCACAAUGGGGGAAACCCUGAUGCAGCAACGCCGCGUGAGGGAAGACGGUUUUCGGAUUGUAAACCUCUGUCCUCUGUGAAGAAGAAAGUGACGGUAGCAGAGGAGGAAGCCACGGCUAACUACGUG